GCCAUAUUUACCUGAAUUCAGACAACAAAUCACAAAUCCUUCAUGGUAUUAGACAUAAAAUGUUAUUUGCACAGAACAUCAAAAUCUAUUUGAACACAAUUUACAAAGAUUAAGGUAAGGAAGCUCAAUAGUUAAAUCAAAUAAGAAAAGUGCAAACAAGAUUUUCAAGUUUUUUAUUGAGUCAUCAGUCCCAUAAGGCUUCACACUCUGUUGAGACCAUGAAGUAUAGGUUUAGGCAUAGAGCUAAGGGGAAG
rnacentral:misc_RNA from 1 species